GCAAACUUGGUCAUUUAGAGGAAGUAAAAGUCGUAACAAGGUUUCCGUAGGUGAACCUGCGGAAGGAUCAUUAGUGAUUAACGCAACGCGACCGCAAGGUCGUGUUGCUAACCUUCUACUAUACCAACCACUGUUUAAAAAUGUAUACAAGAAUGUCUAGUGCGCUACUUAGCCACGAAAAAGAAAGCUUUAAUAAAACUUUCAGCAAUGGAUCUCUUGGUUAAGUAAAAGUCGUAACAAGGUUUCCGUAGGUGAACCUGCGGAAGGAUCAUUAGUGAUUAACGCAACGCGACCGCAAGGUCGUGUUGCUAACCUUCUACUAUACCAACCACUGUUUAAAAAUGUAUACAAGAAUGUCUAGUGCGCUACUUAGCCACGAAAAAGAAAGCUUUAAUAAAACUUUCAGCAAUGGAUCUCUUGGUUCAGGCAUCGAUGAAGAACGCAGC
rnacentral:misc_RNA from 1 species